UUAAAAAAAAAAUCACUGUCCUAAGUGGCUUCUAAAAAAAUUGUAUGGGUGAGUUUUAAUUGGUCCUUAAACUUCCCCAGAGGAGGGGAGAAACCAAACAAAAUCUCGUCUUUUUGAACAGUUUUCCUGGGAGGUAACAGCCGUAAGAACAUCGUGAGCACAGCUAUGAAGGCCCAUGACACGAAGGGAAUCUGAUCAGUUAGGAGGCUGUAGAAGCAGGGGGAGAUACACUGGCUGCCCCCACGUGAUGUGGGAAAACAUUCACCUGCUGGUGAGUUUGGUUAGCGUUGGGGAACACAGCCCCCAGGUGCCAGCUUCCCGUCCGGGGGAGGAGGCAGCCCGCACUGCAGGUGUAGGUCUGAGCAUGAAGUCACUCUCACCCCAAACCAGGUGACGUCUGGUUCUCUGUCCUUAGCAGGAAUCUUGUUCCCUUUCUGACUCAUCUUUUCUUUAUAAGCCCCUUGUAGGGGUGAAAUCUGCCACCUUAUUUGGGCCCAGACGUAACUGCUGUUGGCUUGCGCCUGGCAUUCCUGCUGUUCUAGGUCAAGCUUUCCAGAGACUGGAAGCCUCACACGUGGUGCCCAGCAGGCGGGUCGCCUUCGGGACGCUGCACAAUACUUCCAAGACCGCAUUUACUGCUGGAAGUAGGAGAACUGAGAAGAAACAGCUGGAAUCCACAGAAGAGACAGACAUAUCACCCAAAUCUUCACCACUAGGAGAGCCUGGCAGCUUAGAGGAACACGAUGAAAGGUAUUGACAUCCUCGCUCAGGCAUCAGCCCGACCAAGCAAGGCUGCGAGGACCAAGCGCUGGGUGAUGUGCUUUGAGUUUGCAGAGCUCGCUUGCUACCCUGGGACCAUCUGCCCGUGGGAGGAGAUGACAAAGAGCAGACCCUGGUCCUGAGCACCCACACCAGCAGGUGCGGCUACCUUUGAGCCGGCUGGUUUUACCAAGAAUUCCUGGUGCCGAGGAAGGAAGCUCAGCACACAGACUCCAGGGCCCGUUCCUGGCUAACAGCUCUCAGGUGUUUGGCGCCGUGCUCCUUCCUGGGCACGGAGCCUGAGUCUCCGGAGCGGGAGCCACCCCUCCCGGAUGCAGCGCAGAGAGGAAGCCGCCUCUGAGAUUGUGGGUGAGGCUGAAGGGAGGCUCUCCUUCCUAAGGCAUCUCUCAGAAUUAAGAAAAAAAAAAAGGUUUUCCCCACAGUUUCACUAUAAAAACGUUGAAGGAUGAGUAGAUGUGAUUCUAGUUUCCUAGUAAAAGCUAGGUUAUUUGAGGAUAGGAAAACAGAUGUUCAUCUCUGCAAACAAAACCUGACUGCUCAUCCGACUUUAACCAGCCUUGUCCACACCUGUGAGCAGGCGAGGGGGGCGGGAGUGCCUGCAGCAGCAGCCCUGCGGGGGUCCUCCUGGUGCGGCCAGACCAAGGCUGCAUUUUUAGGAUGCCUGUCCUUGAAGAAAUCACACUGAUGACCAGAUGGAAUCCUCUUGGUCUCUGGGCUUAAGUUAAUCAGGAUGACUCAGUACUGGUGAUUUAAAAGUACUGGGCCCACAGGGUUUUCUUUUGUCACCAAGCUGCUCUUUGCAGUUAUUAUAGCAACAACACUUGUCUGCACACCAGGGUUUCCCAAUGGGCAGAGAGGAGGCAUGGGCUGGAGUCUGCUCUACAGGGACCCCAUGAGAUGACUCCCCAGAGGACACACAACACCAGCGGGAAUUCCAGACGCACUCAUCUUUAACUUGAUGGUGAGCCUGCAGGUCUUCUGAAUUUCCAUUUUCAGCCAAGCAGGGAUGAUGGCAGUGGAGGGUGGGGGCCGUCUCCUGUCAGUGGCCUUGCCCUCGCGGCUGUGGAGAGGCCCUGACUCAAGGUCCUGAUCGUAAUGGACUGCACUCUUCUGGGGACCAGCCAGGCCACUCUCCUGGUGCAGUGCUCAGGGAUCUCCAUCUUCCAGUCAGACUCACAGAAAGUGACAGCUCUGACUGCACUGGGCUAUCGCCACAGUCACCCGCAAGGUGAGCUCCGCACAUGCUCGUCAGUCGUUAGCCGGUGUCUGAUGUGUCCUAAUUUCCAAAGCCUGGAGGAAGGGCAGUGGCUGCGAGGGGUGCCACGUCCCCUGCUUUAUAACUCAUGCAGGAAGUGGAACAGACCCUGGGGCGGAGGGUGGGGGGUCAGAACCAGGGCACAUAGAGCCCUCUCUCAGGGAGAGGCUGACCCACUUGGGCUGCCCGGACACCCUCUGCCAGCACUGCCUUGGAGCUCCCCCUGGCUCCAACCUGCUGACAUUAAUUUAACUUCUCUAAUCCUCUUCUUGCCUGCCCUUUUGCUAAAUCAUUCUCUUAGCUUGAGCAAAGUGAGGUCUGUUCUGAAAAAUGAACCCUGUAUCAAGGUGAGAAGGGUUUUAUCUGUGCUCCUGUGUACAGUGAAGCACCUGCCAACCCCUAACCUUUACCCUUUCCUUAUUUUGCUUUUUCCUAUUAGCCUUUCUCCCCAUCUGAGCUGUUGUGUUUUAGUAUUUUAUUACUCAUCCUCUCCAUUACUGAAUGUCAGCUCCACAAAGGCAAGGGUUUUGUCUACUUUUGUUCACGGAAUAUUUACUUUGUUAAUGAACUUAAGUGUGACUCAGAGAAGGAAAGGAACUGGCCCUGGGGUCUAGGGAGGCAGGGGUGACUGCAGGAGUCACAGCAGCUAUCUGGGCCGCUGUGAAGACUCGGGGCCCUUCCCCCCUGCUAAGUUCUCAGCUCGGCCUUGAUGUCUGUCUAGCCCUUGUGCUCACAGCCAAAGCCAGACGGGGCCACUCCUCCCCAAAACUAAACAAAAAGGAACAAACAGCUUCAAAUUCCAGCCUUGUUAUCUCUUGCUAUGUCCUCCUUUAAUUUGGUGAGGCUGUAACUGCAUGUGCUUAUAAUAUCUAUGCUGUGGUCUUGGCCCAUGGCCAGGGAAAUUUCACGAGUUCUCCCAUAUCCCCUCCACCUCUUUCUUCCCUGUUCUGAUUUAUUUAACUACAUUUGGACACCCGACAAGGAAAACCAUGUAAUCCUUAUUCUUUGUAAGGAGUGUAAGGACUAACGACUUGCUGUGCUUUCCUCUUCUCAACACAUCUGGGAAACUGAUCCUUCCCCAUCAUUAUCGUGUAUCCAGGGCCCUCUGCCACUCGGCUGGACCAUUAGCAGAACUCUGGUGAUGUGCACACACUUACAACCAGACUACACACCAUCUGUCGAGCAGCAUGUUGAGCAAAUCAGAACAUCAAUAUCACCCACCCCACCAGCGACCACUCUUGAGGGUCUCACUGAGGCCACACGCGUGCCUACACCCCCUCUGGAGCAUCAGGGGCUACAGUUCUAAAACCGUCCAUGACUCCUGCCCUUUGGAACUUCAGCUCCUCAGGGCCCAGGCCGAGUGCUGCGCGUUUCCUAUCUCGCACACGGUGGACACAGGGCACACGUCUGUGUGAAGAGUUAAGAGCUUGUUCACUUUCCUAGUCUAGUCGCUGGUUUCCCCUUAGAGUUACUUCUAAGUCCUUGAAGGGACCUCUGGGAGAACAGGCCUCCCUCAUGCCCCACACAUCAGAAACGACAGGAGCGCAUCUUUCCAUGGGGGAAGAAACCCCCUCCCAAGGCCUGCAGGAAGGCCACGUGGAUCUGCCCUUCAUUUGCUCUUUUCAAGAGGCUCAUUUGGGCUCUCAAAUGUGUCUUAUUUCAUCAGCACCCCUGUUUUCAAUUCUAACUUCCCUUUCCCUAAGAUUACAGAGCCUGGAUUAUGAGCUAUCUUGGAAAGGACUCAAGAGACUAGAAGGAGCCUGAGUAAUGAUCCGUACUGAGCUGGUCUAACAUCAGGCAGGAUGGAGAUGGGAGUUCCAGCCCCAAGUGCAGUGUGACGAGUUCAGUGACCUGUCCUCCUUCCUGACCACUCCACUCCCUUCAGACCCCAAGGGAGGAGUCUGGCCUAUGUCCCCAGCUUAUCUCGGAACAAAGGCUACACCCACAGGAGACAAGCCUGACUCAGGGGGCGUGGGGUCAACUGCCAGCCUUCUCUGGUAGCCACACCACCUGUAGAUCCCUGGGGAAUAAUGAAUGGAUCUCCAUCUAUUCAACUGCUAAAUGAUCAUGUCUUCUCUUUGUUCUAUAUGAAUGCUUAAAACAAAAUCCUUCCUUAGGCCCCAUGCCACCGCCAUUUUUUGCCAACUGGAACCACCAAAAUCGUACUCAGCUUUCCUGUAGCACUGGACACCGCAGCCAGCACUGCCCUUCCGAGGCUCCAUGCCUCACCUGGCUCCUGGUCACUCUUCAUUUUUGAUAAGCUAACUCCUUACAUCUAGUGAGCCUUUGGGUUCUGUCCCACUGACCUGUCUUCUAGUUUAAAUUCCUCAACUGUCAGCUUGUGCUUAAUGCCAGAUCUACAUUCCAACCCACGAACUCUCGUGAGCGUCACAAUUUCCAGUUUUCUCAUCCUAGACACCUCCAGGUGAACACCUACCAGCCUCUGAAAACAGAAGCACUGCUGUGAGGGAGAGAGGCGCACAGCAGUGGACCAGUCACCCUGGCAACAGAUGAGAUUCCCACACAAUGAAUUGAGUAAGGUUUUUCUGAGCAAAGAAACAAUGGCUGGGGAUACAUAACUUGAGUUUAAAAUUAAUGAUAGGCGUUUGGAUAUGGAAUAUGGACUUAAGAUUUGUUGAGUCCAGAAUUUCCUAAGAUUUCACAAAAUAGUAAAAUAUUUUAAAGAACACUUUAGGUAUGUACCAUGGAGUGCUGAAUUUAUUUCUAAGAAAAGAUAUUUAAAAUAUGACUGUUCUUCACUAACACUGCCAUUUCAUUUAGGAAGAGUAGUUUAACACACACAGAAGAGCAUAAGGGACACAUUCAAGGAAAGAAUCCAGAUUUCCCCGUCAUCACAGAUGAGUGCAAAGUGUUAACAGGUGCCACUGGCCCCAGGACGAGGUGUAAGGGUGCCACUGGUACAGGUUCUGGAUAAGAGGGUUAGGGUUGCAACAUUAGUCUCCCAAGAUUCUAGGAAUAAAGGGUUCACUGGUCCCAACUAGGUUUGAGAAAUACUGCAUCCUGGAGUUUCCUAAUCUUAAACUGUCACGUUGCGCAUACUGUUACGAGGGUUCUGAGAAUUGUUUGGUAAAGAAAUCUGUUUAACUCUCAAGUCUCUGGCCACGAUUACAUCUGAGGACAAGCACACACUCAGAAAUAUGUCAGGUUGGGGAAGAACAGGUACAUCCCUAACUUACUCAAGUUGAUGUCUUAAAGCACAAAAAUACUAUCCCUCAACUUAUUUCCACAGCCCGGGGUGAAUCCCAACUAGUUGGUCUGUGAGUCUCCUGACUGGGCACGGUGCUGCCCGUCACUAAUCCUGUUGGGUAAGGCCCUUCCUUCACGAAGACGCCUUCCUUCUGACCUAGGACCGGACUCUCUGGAAGAGACUGACCUUUUACAGUACUGAGAACUUUGGCAAAUGAAAUCUGCACUCAGCAGCUCCCCUGGAAAUUGAGAUGAAGGUGACAUGAGCCACCAACUGAGACUUUAGGUCAACAGGGCAAACUGCAUGUGGAAAGUAAACCCUGGAACACUUGUAAAUCCCAUUUGGGGCUCUCCUCCCUCCUCGGUAAGAGGGCACUGACCUGCACGAGGCAUCUACUCCUCCAGUAUGGCCCUGUGAGUGGUCAGAGACAGCUCUCCAUUAACGGUGGGACUAAGUCAACCCAGGCCACUUUCUCCCCUCGUGCUCUUUCCUUCUCCAGAGUCUCAAAGGCCUCAGGUGACCAAACACAGGACUUAGUACUAAUGGAAGAAGAAACAGAACAUCUGAAGUAUUUUCAUCUUAGAACAGAAGCUCUCCAAGAGAAGGCGUGUCAGCAUUAGGUAGAGAUGUGUAACAACUCCCCAUGGCCUCAGCAUUUAUAACUGGAUGAAUCUGGUCCCAACCUAAGUCUCAUUUUUCUUCCUAUUUUGUGAAGGAAUGAUGUAAACCAAGGGCUGAGUGUAAAACGGUAACAUUUAAAACACUUGACUUUAGGGCAGACUUAAUUCACCAAAUUAGAGCUCAGAAUAACAGUGCUAAAGAAACAAUCCCUUUUAAAACUGCACCCAAAACAAUAAAAUACUUAGGAAUAAAUCUCACCAAGGAGGUGAAAGACAUAAACAUGGAGAACUACAAAACAUUAAGGAAAUUAAAGAUGACUUAAAGGAAUGGAAAGAUAUCCCAUGCUUUUGAAUUAGAGGAAUCAAUAUUGUUAAAAUACCCAUAAUGCUGAAGGCAAUCUACAGAUUUAAUGUGAUCCCUAUCAAAUUACCCACCAUAUUUUUCACUGAACUAGAACAGACAAUCCCAAAAUUUAUAUGGAAUCACAGAAGACCCAGAAUUGCAAUAAUGAAGAAAUAGAAUGAAGCUGGAGAAAUAACCCUCCCAGACUUUAGACAAUACCCCAGAGCUCUAGUAAUCAAAACAGCAUGGUAUUGGCAUAAAAAUAGAUGUAUGGAUCAGUGGAACAGAACAGAGAGCCCAGAAAUAAACCCACACACCUAUGGUCAAUUAAUCUUCGACAAAGGAGGCAAGAACAUACAAUGGAGAAAAGACAGUCUCUUCAGCAAGUGGUGCUGGGAAAACUGGAUAGAAGCAUGUAAAUCAAUGAAGUUAGAACACUCUUUCACUCGUACACAAAAAUAAACUCAAAAUGGCUUAAAGACACGAUAAAUUUCCUAGAAAACAGACAAAACAUUUUCUGACAAAUCUUAACAAUGUCUCCUAGGGCAGUCUACUCAGGUAACAGAAAUAAAAGCAAAAAUUAACAAAUGGGACCGAAUGAAACUUAGUAAGCUUUUGCACAGCAAAAGAAACCAUAAACAAAACAGUGACAACCUACGGAAUGGGAAAAAAUAUUUGCAAAUGAUGCAGCUGACAAAGGCUUAAUUUCCAGAAUAUAUAAGCAGCUCAUACAACUUACUAACAAAAGAAACCCCAAUCCAAAAAUGGGCAGAAGACCUAAACAAGCAAUUCUCCAGUGAAGACGUAUGAAUGGCCAAUAUGCACAAAUGCAAAUCAAAACUAUAAUGAGGUAUCACCUCACACCAGUCAGAAUGGCCAUCAUUAAAAAGUCCACCAAAGAUAAAUGCUGGAGAGGCUGUGGAGAAAAGGAAACCCUCCUACAUUGCCGGUGGGAAUAUGGUUUGGUGCAGCCAUUAUAGAAACAGUAUGGAGAUUCCUCAAAAAACUAAAAAUAAAGACUUACCACAUGAUCCAGCAAUCCCACUCCCGGGCAUAUAUCCAGAGGGAACCUUAAUUCAAGGAGAUACAUGCACCCAAUGUUCAGAGCAGCACUAUUUACAAUAGGCAAGACAUGGGAGCAACCUAAAUGUCCACUGACAGAUGACUGGAUAAAGAAGUUGUGGUAUGUUUAUACAAUGGAUUACUACUCAGCCAUAAAAAAAAGAAUAAAAUAAUGCUAUUUGCAGCAACAUGGAAGGACCUGGAAAUUGUCAUUCUAAGUGAAGUAAGCCAGAAAGAGAAAGAAAAAUGCCAUAUGAUAUCACUCAUGUGGAAUCAAAAAGGAAGAAAAGGACACUAUGAACUCUUCUACAAAACAGAAACAGACUUGCAGACAUAGUAAAUAAUCUUACAGUUAUUAGACAAAGUGGAUGGGAAGGGAUAAAUUCGGGAGUUUGAGAUUUACAAAUGUUAGCCACUAUAUAUAAAAACAGGUUAAAAAGUUUCUGCUGUAUAGCACAGGGAACCACGUUCAACAUCUCAUAAUAACCUUUAAUGAAAAAAGUGAAAACGAAUAUAUGUACGUAUAUGCAUGACUGAGACAUUAUGCUGUACACCAGGAAUUGACACAUUGUAACGGGCGGUACUUCAAUAGUAAAAACAAACAAAAAAACCCCAGUGUUUUGUACUUAACUGAAACUCGGGCAAGACACUGAAUUAAAGAAUGCGUUUGGGAUUUUACAGAAAUUCUACAUUCCUAGGGAAAAAAAAUCAUAAGGUAGUUCUCUGAAGCAAGGUUAGGCCUAUGAUAAAAUGGCACAAAGAUGCCAA